GAUGAACGCUAGCGACAGGCCUAACACAUGCAAGUCGAGGGGCAGCACGUCUUCGGAUGAUGACGACCGGCGCACGGGUGAGUAACGCGUAUGCAACCUACCUCAAACAGGGGGAUAGCUCAGGGAAAGGGGAAUUAACACCGCAUAAGACCACGUUUUCGCAUGGAAGAGUGGUAAAAUAUUCGACGGUUAUGGAUGGGCAUGCGUGCCAUUAGCUAGAUGGUGAGGUAACGGCUCACCAUGGCAACGAUGGAUAGGGGUUCUGAGAGGAUUAUCCCCCACACUGGUACUGAGACACGGACCAGACUCCUACGGGAGGCAGCAGUGAGGAAUAUUGGUCAAUGGACGCAAGUCUGAACCAGCCAUGCCGCGUGCAGGAUGACGGUGCUACGCAUUGUAAACUGCUUUUAUAUGGGAAGAAACCAUUCUACGUGUAGGGUCUUGACGGUACCAUAUGAAUAAGGAUCGGCUAACUCCGUGCCAGCAGCCGCGGUAAUACGGAGGAUCCAAGCGUUAUCCGGAUUUAUUGGGUUUAAAGGGUUCGUAGGCGGAUUAAUAAGUCAGAGGUGAAAUCCUGCAGCUCAACUGUAGAACUGCCUUUGAAACUGUUAGUCUUGAGUAUAGUUGAAGUAGGCGGAAUGUAACAUGUAGCGGUGAAAUGCAUAGAGAUGUUACAGAACACCGAUUGCGAAGGCAGCUUACUAAACUAUCACUGACGCUGAUGAACGAAAGCGUGGGGAGCGAACAUGAUUAGAUACCCUGGUAGUCCACGCUGUAAACGAUGAUCACUCGUUGUGUGCGAUAUAUUGUAAGCGACUGAGCGAAAGCAUUAAGUGAUCCACCUGGGGAGUACGUCGGCAACGAUGAAACUCAAAGGAAUUGACGGGGGCCCGCACAAGCGGAGGAACAUGUGGUUUAAUUCGAUGAUACGCGAGGAACCUUACCUGGGUUUAAAUGUAGAUUGCAUGAUCGGGAAACUGAUCUUUCCUUGGACUAUUUACAAGGUGCUGCAUGGUUGUCGUCAGCUCGUGCCGUGAGGUGUCGGGUUAAGUCCCAUAACGAGCGCAACCCCUAUCGUUAGUUGCCGUCAGGUCAUGCUGGGAACUCUAACGAGACUGCCGGUGUAAACCGCGAGGAAGGUGGGGAUGACGUCAAAUCAUCACGGCCCUUACGUCCUGGGCCACACACGUGCUACAAUGGUCGGUACAGAGGGCAGCUACCCCGCGAGGGGAUGCGAAUCUCGAAAGCCGGUCUCAGUUCGGAUCGAAGUCUGCAACUCGACUUCGUGAAGCUGGAAUCGCUAGUAAUCGCGCAUCAGCCAUGGCGCGGUGAAUACGUUCCCGGGCCUUGUACACACCGCCCGUCAAGCCAUGGAAGUUGGGGGUGCCUGAAGUCUGUAACCGCAAGGAGCGGCCUAAGGUAAAACUGAUGACUGGGGCU
rnacentral:rRNA from 1 species